rnacentral:rRNA from 1 species
CUACCCUUGACAUGCCAGGAAGUCCGGAGAGAUUUGGAUGUGCCCGAAAGGGAACCUGGACACAGGUGCUGCAUGGCUGUCGUCAGCUCGUGUCGUGAGAUGUUGGGUUAAGUCCCGCAACGAGCGCAACCCUUGUCGUUAAUUGCCAUCAUUGAGUUGGGCACUUUAACGAGACUGCCGGUGACAAACCGGAGGAAGGUGGGGAUGACGUCAAGUCCUCAUGGCCCUUAUGGGUAGGGCUUCACACGUCAUACAAUGGUCGGUACAGAGGGUUGCCAACCCGCGAGGGGGAGCCAAUCCCAGAAAGCCGAUCGUAGUCCGGAUUGUAGUCUGCAACUCGACUACAUGAAGUCGGAAUCGCUAGUAAUCGCGGAUCAGCAUGCCGCGGUGAAUACGUUCCC